rnacentral:snRNA from 1 species
UUGACCUUGUAAGGCCUU